CAGGGAGACAACAAAAUGUUUAAUAUUAUUAUUUUGUCACCUUAGGUCGAUCGGUAUCUCACAUUCUUAAUUUAUUAAGGAUUUCAAUUCCUAAGUUUUUCUAGGUCACACCCAUUAUUUCCCUGGGCCAUUAGCUCAGGUGGUUAGAGCGCACCCCUGAUAAGGGUGAGGUCCCUGGUUCAAGUCCAGGAUGGCCCAUAUCUCUAUGUUGGGGGUAUAGCUCAGUUGGUAGAGCGCCUGCUUUGCAAGCAGGAUGUCAGCGGUUCGAGUCCGCUUACCUCCACUGAUUACCACCUCUUCCAUAAUCUGUAUAAGGGAAAUGUUUUGGUUUGUGAUCAUAUUCUGAACGAAUCUAGCUUCCUAAUGAAAUCAUUAAGAUGCUGGACUCAUUGAAUUUAAUUUCAUUGUUUUCAGAGAACCUUGGCAACUGCAUAGAUUAUUUUUAAAGACAAUAAGCAUCUUUAAUGAUGCAGAUUUAUUAUUUGUGCGAAAGCAUUAAUAACAAUUCUAUUAAGCUGAUGCUUCAA
rnacentral:tRNA from 1 species